rnacentral:rRNA from 1 species
AGAGUUUGAUCCUGGCUCAGGACGAACGCUGGCGGCAUGCCUAACACAUGCAAGUCGAACGGAGUUUAAUUGACAGAAGCCUUCGGGCAGAAGACGAUUAAACUUAGUGGCGGACGGGUGAGUAACGCGUGGAUAACCUGCCUUAUAGAGGGGGACAACAGUUGGAAACGACUGCUAAUACCGCAUAAGGUCUCGAGACCGCAUGAUCUUGAGAAGAAAGAUGGCCUCUGAAAAUGCUAUCGCUAUAAGAUGGAUCCGCGUCUGAUUAGCUAGUUGGUGAGGUAACGGCUCACCAAGGCAACGAUCAGUAGCCGGCCUGAGAGGGUGAACGGCCACAUUGGGACUGAGACACGGCCCAAACUCCUACGGGAGGCAGCAGUGGGGAAUCUUCCGCAAUGGGCGAAAGCCUGACGGAGCAAUGCCGCGUGAAUGAAGAAGGCCUUCGGGUCGUAAAAUUCUGUCCUUAUUGAAGAGAGGUUCAUGUGUAAACAAUGCAUGAAUAGGACGGUAGAUAAGGAGGAAGCCCCGGCUAACUACGUGCCAGCAGCCGCGGUAAUACGUAGGGGGCGAGCGUUGUCCGGAAUCACUGGGCGUAAAGGGCGCGUAGGCGGCCUAGUAAGUCAGAUGUGAAAAGUGAGGGCUCAACCCUUAGAGUGCAUCUGAUACUGCUAGGCUUGAGUACAGAAGAGGAAAGCGGAAUUCCUAGUGUAGCGGUGAAAUGCGUAGAUAUUAGGAGGAACACCAGUGGCGAAGGCGGCUUUCUGGGCUGAAACUGACGCUGAGGCGCGAAAGCGUGGGGAGCAAACAGGAUUAGAUACCCUGGUAGUCCACGCCGUAAACGAUGGGUACUAGGUGUCGGGGGUAUCGAUACCCUCGGUGCCGGAGUAAACACAAUAAGUACCCCGCCUGGGGAGUACGAUCGCAAGAUUGAAACUCAAAGGAAUUGACGGGGGCCCGCACAAGCGGUGGAGCAUGUGGUUUAAUUCGACGCAACGCGAAGAACCUUACCAAGACUUGACAUCCUGCUGACGGAUUGGGUAAUGCCGAUCGUUCUACUUCGGUAGACAGCAGAGACAGGUGGUGCAUGGUUGUCGUCAGCUCGUGUCGUGAGAUGUUGGGUUAAGUCCCGCAACGAGCGCAACCCUUGUCUUUAGUUGCCAGCAUUAAGUUGGGCACUCUAAAGAGACUGCCGGUGACAAACCGGAGGAAGGUGGGGAUGACGUCAAAUCAUCAUGCCCCUUAUGUCUUGGGCUACACACGUGCUACAAUGUCGGUACAAAGGGCAGCGAGACCGCGAGGUGGAGCGAAUCCCAAAAAGCCGAUCCCAGUUCGGAUUGCAGGCUGCAACCCGCCUGCAUGAAGUCGGAAUCGCUAGUAAUCGCAGGUCAGCAUACUGCGGUGAAUACGUUCCCGGGCCUUGUACACACCGCCCGUCACACCACGAAAGUUGGUAACACCCGAAGCCGGUGGUCUAACCGCAAGGAGGAAGCUGUCGAAGGUGGGACUAAUGAUUGGGGUGAAGUCGUAACAAGGUA